rnacentral:rRNA from 1 species
GCUUGCUCCCGGAUGUUAGCGGCGGACGGGUGAGUAACACGUGGGUAACCUGCCUGUAAGACUGGGAUAACUCCGGGAAACCGGAGCUAAUACCGGAUAGUUCCUUGAACCGCAUGGUUCAAGGAUGAAAGACGGUUUCGGCUGUCACUUACAGAUGGACCCGCGGCGCAUUAGCUAGUUGGUGAGGUAACGGCUCACCAAGGCGACGAUGCGUAGCCGACCUGAGAGGGUGAUCGGCCACACUGGGACUGAGACACGGCCCAGACUCCUACGGGAGGCAGCAGUAGGGAAUCUUCCGCAAUGGACGAAAGUCUGACGGAGCAACGCCGCGUGAGUGAUGAAGGUUUUCGGAUCGUAAAGCUCUGUUGUUAGGGAAGAACAAGUGCAAGAGUAACUGCUUGCACCUUGACGGUACCUAACCAGAAAGCCACGGCUAACUACGUGCCAGCAGCCGCGGUAAUACGUAGGUGGCAAGCGUUGUCCGGAAUUAUUGGGCGUAAAGGGCUCGCAGGCGGUUUCUUAAGUCUGAUGUGAAAGCCCCCGGCUCAACCGGGGAGGGUCAUUGGAAACUGGGAAACUUGAGUGCAGAAGAGGAGAGUGGAAUUCCACGUGUAGCGGUGAAAUGCGUAGAGAUGUGGAGGAACACCAGUGGCGAAGGCGACUCUCUGGUCUGUAACUGACGCUGAGGAGCGAAAGCGUGGGGAGCGAACAGGAUUAGAUACCCUGGUAGUCCACGCCGUAAACGAUGAGUGCUAAGUGUUAGGGGGUUUCCGCCCCUUAGUGCUGCAGCUAACGCAUUAAGCACUCCGCCUGGGGAGUACGGUCGCAAGACUGAAACUCAAAGGAAUUGACGGGGGCCCGCACAAGCGGUGGAGCAUGUGGUUUAAUUCGAAGCAACGCGAAGAACCUUACCAGGUCUUGACAUCCUCUGACAACCCUAGAGAUAGGGCUUUCCCUUCGGGGACAGAGUGACAGGUGGUGCAUGGUUGUCGUCAGCUCGUGUCGUGAGAUGUUGGGUUAAGUCCCGCAACGAGCGCAACCCUUGAUCUUAGUUGCCAGCAUUCAGUUGGGCACUCUAAGGUGACUGCCGGUGACAAACCGGAGGAAGGUGGGGAUGACGUCAAAUCAUCAUGCCCCUUAUGACCUGGGCUACACACGUGCUACAAUGGACAGAACAAAGGGCUGCGAGACCGCAAGGUUUAGCCAAUCCCACAAAUCUGUUCUCAGUUCGGAUCGCAGUCUGCAACUCGACUGCGUGAAGCUGGAAUCGCUAGUAAUCGCGGAUCAG